AAAUUGAAGAGUUUGAUCAUGGCUCAGAUUGAACGCUGGCGGCAGGCCUAACACAUGCAAGUCGAACGGUAGCACAGAGAGCUUGCUCUCGGGUGACGAGUGGCGGACGGGUGAGUAAUGUCUGGGAAACUGCCCGAUGGAGGGGGAUAACUACUGGAAACGGUAGCUAAU
rnacentral:rRNA from 1 species